AACGAACGCUGGCGGCGCGUUUUAAGCAUGCAAGUCGAACGGCAAGGAGAGUAGCAAUACUUUCCCUAGAGUGGCGAACGGGUGAGUAACACGUAGGUGAUCUACCCCUGGAUGGGGGAUAGUCCGUGGAAUCACGGGGUAAUACCGCAUGAGGCCUUGGGGGUAAAGCCCUGAGGUGAAAGCUCCAACUGGAGCGUCUGGGGAUGAGCCUGCGGCCCAUUAGGCAGUUGGCGGGGUAAAAGCCCACCAAACCGACGAUGGGUAGCCGGCCUGAGAGGGUGUACGGCCACACUGGAACUGAGACACGGUCCAGACUCCUACGGGAGGCAGCAGCUAAGAAUCUUCCGCAAUGGGGGAAACCCUGACGGAGCGACGCCGCGUGGACGAUGAAGGCCGUAAGGUUGUAAAGUCCUUUUGCGGGCGAAGAAUAAGCUAGGGAGUGGAAAGCCCUGGUGAUGACGUUAGCCCGCGAAUAAGCCCCGGCCAAUUACGUGCCAGCAGCCGCAGUAAUAC
rnacentral:rRNA from 1 species